rnacentral:rRNA from 1 species
GACGAACGCUGGCGGCGUGCCUAAUACAUGCAAGUAGAACGCUGAAGGAGGAGCUUGCUUCUCUGGAUGAGUUGCGAACGGGUGAGUAACGCGUAGGUAACCUGCCUGGUAGCGGGGGAUAACUAUUGGAAACGAUAGCUAAUAUCGCAUAAUAGCAGUUGUUGCAUGACAACUGUUUGAAAGGUGCAAUUGCACCACUACCAGUUGGACCUGCGUUGUAUUAGCUAGUUGGUGGGGUAACGGCUCACCAAGGCGACGAUACAUAGCCGACCUGAGAGGGUGAUCGGCCACACUGGGACUGAGACACGGCCCAGACUCCUACGGGAGGCAGCAGUAGGGGAUCUUCGGCAAUGGGCGGAAGGCUGACCGAGCCACGCCGCGUGAGUGAAGAAGGGUUUCCGAUCGGAAAGCCCUGUUGUAAGAGAAGAACGAGUGUUAGAGUGGAAAGUUCACACUGUGACGGUAUCUUACCAGAAAGGGACGGCUAACUACGUG